rnacentral:miRNA from 1 species
UACUAGAUUAUGAAGCAGCAGA